rnacentral:tRNA from 1 species
GGUUGAAGCUCAGAGGUAGAGCACUUGCCUUUCAUGUGUGAGGCCCUGGGUUCAAUCCCCAGCACCA